rnacentral:tRNA from 1 species
GGUGGGGUGUCCGAGCGGUUGAAGGAGCACGCCUGGAAAGUGUGUAUACGGCAACGUAUCGGGGGUUCGAAUCCCCCCCUCACCGCCA